AAAGUGCGACAAGUGUCACGACUUGCAGAUACCCGAGAGCUGACAAAUUUCUGAAUGCAAAUUGCAGCCAUGUUAACCUGGCUAUGUAUUGCAGAGAGUACUUCGCUUAUGCGCUCCAUCCAGUCAUGUUUUCAUCUCUGGGACAUGCGACUUCCCGUCUUGUGUCGUCGUCGUGUGUGUGCGUGUGCGUGCUAUGCACGCCACCACCACGCAACACGCACAAAUAAAAAGACGAGGAGGUUGUCAAAGGAAGAAAACCUUGAGUUUUCCUGGCUAUUAUUUUAUAUUAACCUGAGACGAUUAGAAAUCUCUUUUCUCCUCUCACCUCUCACCUCUGCAAUGCAGGAGAACCCGCUGAACUUAA
rnacentral:misc_RNA from 1 species